rnacentral:rRNA from 1 species
CCCGAGGAUGGGGCUGCGGCUGAUCAGGCAGUUGGCGAGGUAACGGCUCACCAAACCUUUGACCAGUACGGGCCAUGAAAGUGGUAGCCCGGAGAUGGGCACUGAGACAGGGGCCCAGGCCCUACGGGGCGCAGCAGGCGCGAAAACUCCACAAUGUACGGAAGUACGAUGGGGUUAUCUCGAGUGCAGUCCGAUAAGGGCUGCUUUUCCAUAGAGUAAUAUCCUGUGGGAAUAAGAGGGGGGCAAGACUGGUGUCAGCCGCCGCGGUAACACCAGCCCCUCGAGUGGUGGGGACUAUUAUUUGGCCUAAAGCGUCCGUAGCUGGCUGUAUCCGUCCCCCGUUAAAUCCAGCGUCCUAAGCGUUGGACUGCGGGUGAUACCAUACAGCUAGAGGGUGGGAUAGGUGAGCGGUAUUUCUGGGGUAGGGGCGAAAUCCUUUGAUCCCAGGAGGACCACCAGUGGCGAAGGCUGCUCACUAGAACACGCCUGACGGUCAGGGACGAAAGCUGGGGCAGCGAACCGGAUUAGAUACCCGGGUAGUCCCAGCUGUAAACGAU